UACAGAGGGCUCAAGCGUUGUUCGGAUUCAUUGGGCGUAAAGGGUGCGUAGGUGGCGUCGUAAGUCAGGUGUGAAAUUUCGGAGCUUAACUCCGAAACUGCAUUUGAUACUGCGGUGCUUGAGGACUGGAGAGGAGACUGGAAUUUACGGUGUAGCAGUGAAAUGCGUAGAGAUCGUAAGGAAGACCAGUGGCGAAGGCGGGUCUCUGGACAGUUCCUGACACUGAGGCACGAAGGCCAGGGGAGCAAACGGG
rnacentral:rRNA from 1 species